rnacentral:rRNA from 1 species
CCUACGGGUGGCAGCAGUGGGGAAUAUUGCACAAUGGGGGAAACCCUGAUGCAGCGACGCCGCGUGAGUGAAGAAGUAAUUCGUUAUGUAAAGCUCUAUCAGCAGGGAAGAAAAUGACGGUACCUGAGUAAGAAGCCCCGUCGAACUACGUGCCAGCAGCCGCGGUAAUACGUCGGCGGCAAGCGUUAUCCGGAUUUACUGGGGGUAAAGGGAGCGUAGGCGGGAGUGCAAGUCUGGAGUGAAAGGCGGGGGCUCAACCCCCGGACUGCUCUGGAAACUGUACGGCUUGAGUGCAGGAGAGGUAAGUGGAAUUCGUGGUGUAGCGGUGAAAUGCGUAGAUAUUAGGAGGAACACCGGUGGCGAAGGCGGCUUACUGGACUGUAACUGACGUUGAGGCUCGAAAGCGUGGGGAGCAAACAGGAUUAGAUACCCUGGUAGUC